CAUACACACACAUACAAACAUAUAAUUUGACACAGUUAUAACGUCCAACCGAGCGUCCAUCGUCGUUCGAUGGUUUUAAAAAUUAGAAUUUUAGUGAUACAUGGGUGAAUCAGAAUCGGAUCGGUGCGGCACGAUGCGACGGUUUAUGCGUCGCGGUUCCUCUCCGCAAUCGGCCGGCACUGCUGUCCACAGCCUCUACGCCGUUAGACGACGCUUCUCGCAGAUCGAUUCCAGCGAAAUUAGUGGAAGGACGGACGCGAUUUUUCGCUUAUUUUCGUUUCCUAUGUACGUAGUCGUUAAUCGUAUCUAUUUAAAAUUCUCACGCGUUAUGAAGGAGGAAAUACGUUCGCCGAUGAGGAUUGUAUAAAUCGAAGAGUCACGUUGAAGUGCUUUUUCCUUUAAGGGAUUUCUUCGAUCAAGGACGAAUUCGAAGAUAACACCUUUCGAGGACCGUCGAUCGGUUUACAAGAACAAGCAUCUGUAAAAGAAAUAUAAUUGUGAGAAAAAGAAAGGUAGAGAGAAAGAGAGAAAGAGAGAAAGAGAGAGAGAGAGAAAGAGAGAGAAAAUGAUGCAUUUAAAUCUUUAAACGAUUAAUUAAAAUUUUUUAAAUUUAAUUGUAAUAUAUAUGAUUAUUGAAAUUUAUCAGAUUAGGUCAAAGUUCUUUUAAGAUUCGUCUAUUUAUCUCGGGAAUUGUUGAUAAUAAACGAAAAAAGAGAGAAAGAGAAAGAGAAAGAAAGGUUCGAAAAAAAAUUUGAUUAUUUUAACUUAUAUAUGUUACGACGAAUUAUGUAGCUAUCGGAAAAGGGAACGUGUUUAUUUAAUAACAUCGAAUCGAUUUACGUGCCUUUCGAAGAAGAAAAAUACUUGAUGGUGAUUCAUUUUGAUAAAUUCCUUAAGGCUCUUUGAUAUGUGGACCAACUGGUUCGGUGCAGGGAGAAGAAACAAAAUUUAUCCGAAGAACGACGAGGGCGUUAACGAUAGUGAUACCAUCUUUUAACGCUAUUGAUUAUAUUCAUAAAGUGAGCAUGUCUAGAAGAAAAAUCGGUGGAGAUAAACAAUUUAACAACGUGGAUUACACACAGCUGACUGAAACUGACAAUGGCUUUAUAGAUUCACAGGUAAUCCAGGUUUACACCCAUUAACGCUUAACCAUCCCCUCUAUAGUUUGUGAAUCCACCGGUGAAAAUACCAUGGAAAGCCAUCAUGCUAGCUGCUCUUUUAUUUGUGGGAGGAACUGUUUUGCUUAUAACAGGAAGCUUGAUCAUCAGCGGGCACAUUGAUUGCAAAUAUUCUGAUCGAAUAUGGCCUGUGAUUAUUCUAGGAGCAUUGAUGUUUAUACCUGGAGCUUACCAUAUGAGAGUUGCUAUUUUAGCUUAU